rfam:Canis lupus familiaris chromosome 22, whole genome shotgun sequence.
GCCUGGGUGGCUCAGUGGUUGAGCAUCUGCCUUCAGCUCAGGUUGUGGUCCCAGGGUUGUGGGAUCGAGUCCCACAUCAGGCU